rnacentral:rRNA from 1 species
UGGGGGAUAUUGCACAAUGGGCGAAAGCCUGAUGCAGCGACGCCGCGUGGGGGAUGAAGGCCUUCGGGUUGUAAACUUCUUUUGCUCUGAACAAGGCAUGCCUCUGGGGUGUGUUGAGUGUAGGGGUUGAUUAGCGCCGGCUAACUACGUGCCAUCAGCCGGGGUAAUACGUAGGGGGCGAGCGUUGUCCGAAAUUAUUGGGCGUAAAGGGCUUGUAGGUGGCUGGUUGCGUCUGUCGUGAAAGCUCAUGGCUUAACUGUGGGUUGGCUGUGGGAACGGUCUGGCUUGGGUGCAGUAGGGGAGGCUGGAAUUCCUGGUGUAGCGGUGGAAUGCGCAGAUAUCAGGAGGAAUACCUGUGGCGAAGGCGGGUCUCUGGGCUGUUACUGACGCUGAGGAGCGAAAGCGUGGGGAGCGAACAGG